rnacentral:rRNA from 1 species
CAAUAGCGUAUAUUAAAGUUGUUGCGGUUAAAAAGCUCGUAGUUGGAUUUCUGCUGAGGAUGACCGGUCCGCCCUGUGGGUGUGCAUCUGGCUCAGCCUUGGCAUCUUCCUGAAGAACGUAGCUGCACUUGACUGUGUGGUGCGGUAUUUAGGACAUUUACUUUGAGGAAAUUAGAGUGUUUCAAGCAAGCGCACGCUUUGAAUACAUUAGCAUGGAAUAAUAAGAUAGGACCUUGGUUCUAUUUUGUUGGUUUCUAGAGCUGAGGUAAUGAUUGAUAGGGAUAGUUGGGGGCAUUCGUAUUUAACUGCCAGAGGUGAAAUUCUUGGAUUUGUUAAAGACGGACUACUGCGAAAGCAUUUGCCAAGGAUGUUUUCAUUGA